rnacentral:rRNA from 1 species
AUAUUAGUCAAUGGCCUAAAGGCUGAACCAGUAACUUGGAAGAAUGUAAAUGUAUUAAUAAUUAAUACAAUAACGAUUAAUUCGUAUAAAAUUCUAAAUAGAAUAAUGAUAAUGACAAUUUUCUAUUUAUAAGUCUUGACCAAAUUACGUGCCAGCAGUCGCGGUAAUACGUAAAAGACUAGUGUUAGUCAUCUUUAUUAGGUUUAAAGGGUACCUAGACGGUAAAUUAAACUCUCAUUGAGUAUCUUUUUACUAGAGUUUUAUAAGAGAAGGAAGAAUUUUUGGAGUAGUGAUAAAAUACUUUUAUACCAAAAAGACUGAUAACGGCGAAGGCAUCCUUCUAUGUAAAAACUGACGUUGAGGGACGAAGGCUUGGGUAGCAAUAAGGAUUAGAUACCCUAGUAGUCCAAGCAGAAAAUAAUGAAUGUCAUAAACUAGAUAAUUAAUUUAGUAUAUAAAUGAAAGUGUAAGCAUUCCACCUCAAGAGUAAUAUGGCAACAUAUAAACUGAAAUCAUUAGACCGUUUCUGAAACCAGUAGUGAAGUAUGUUAUUUAAUCG